GAUCCUGGCUUAGGAUGAACGCUAGCUACAGGCUAACACAUGCAAGUCGAGGGCAUCGAGAAGAAAGCUUGCUUCUUGUCGGCGACCGGCGCACGGGUGAGUAACGCGUAUCCAACCUUCCCUAUACUAGAGAAUAGCCCGGCGAAAGUCGGAUUAAUGCUCUAUGUUCUUCUUUGAUGGCAUCUGACGAGAAGCAAAGGCUUGCCGGUAUAGGAUGGGGAUGCGUCUGAUUAGCUUGUUGGCGGGGUAACGGCCCACCAAGGCAACGAUCAGUAGGGGUUCUGAGAGGAAGGUCCCCCACAUUGGUACUGAGACACGGACCAAACUCCUACGGGAGGCAGCAGUGAGGAAUAUUGGUCAAUGGGCGAGAGCCUGAACCAGCCAAGUAGCCGUGCAGGAAGACUGCCCUAUGGGUUGUAAACUGCUUUUAUAGGGGAAUAAAGUGACGGUACGUGUGCCUUUUUGUAUGUACCCUAUGAAUAAGGACCGGCUAAUUCCGUGCCAGCAGCCGC
rnacentral:rRNA from 1 species